rnacentral:misc_RNA from 1 species
AAAGUCGUAACAAGGUAACCGUAGGUGAACCUGCGGUUGGAUCAUUACUGAUUUUGCCGAGGCAGGUCGAGUCUCUCGGGACUCCCUGCCGGAGCGAUACACACUUGUGCACCAUAUCGUCUUUUGGGUGGGGCGUUUGCUUGCAAGCGACCCGCCCAGCCGUAUAAACCACUAUAUCUUUUGUCUGAAAAUCUAGUAAUAGAAACAACUUUUGACAACGGAUCUCUUGGCUCUC